GUGGGGAAUAUUGCACAAUGGGCGCAAGCCUGAUGCAGCAACGCCGCGUGAGGGACGACGGCCUUCGGGUUGUAAACCUCUUUUAGUAGGGAAGAAGCGAAAGUGACGGUACCUGCAGAAAAAGCACCGGCUAACUACGUGCCAGCAGCCGCGGUAAUACGUAGGGUGCAAGCGUUAUCCGGAAUUAUUGGGCGUAAAGAGCUCGUAGGCGGUCUGUCGCGUCUGCUGUGAAAACUGGAGGCUCAACCUCCAGCCUGCAGUGGGUACGGGCAGACUAGAGUGCGGUAGGGGAGAUUGGAAUUCCUGGUGUAGCGGUGGAAUGCGCAGAUAUCAGGAGGAACACCGAUGGCGAAGGCAGAUCUCUGGGCCGUAACUGACGCUGAGGAGCGAAAGCGUGGGGAGCGAACAGGAUUAGAUACCCUAGUAGUCC
rnacentral:rRNA from 1 species